rnacentral:rRNA from 1 species
UACGUAGGGUGCGAGCGUUAAUCGGAAUUACUGGGCGGAAAGCGUGCGUAGGCGGUUCGGUAAGUUCGUUGUGAAAGCCCCGGGCUCAACCUGGGAAUGGCAAUGGAAACUGGCGGGCUGGAGUAUGGCAGAGGGGGGUGGAAUUCCGCGUGUAGCAGUGAAAUGCGUAGAGAUGCGGAGGAACACCGAUGGCGAAGGCAGCCCCCUGGGCCAAUACUGACGCUCAGGCACGAAAGCGUGGGGAGCAAACAGG